UGGGGAAUAUUGCACAAUGGGCGCAAGCCUGAUGCAGCCAUGCCGCGUGUGUGAAGAAGGCCUUCGGGUUGUAAAGCACUUUCAGCGGGGAGGAAGGCGGUGAGGUUAAUAACCUCAUCGAUUGACGUUACCCGCAGAAGAAGCACCGGCUAACUCCGUGCCAGCAGCCGCGGUAAUACGGAGGGUGCAAGCGUUAAUCGGAAUUACUGGGCGUAAAGCGCACGCAGGCGGUCUGUCAAGUCGGAUGUGAAAUCCCCGGGCUCAACCUGGGAACUGCAUUCGAAACUUGCAGGCUAGAGUCUUGUAGACGUGCGUAGAAUUCCAGGUGUAGCGGUGAAAUGCGUAGAGAUCUGGAGGAAUACCGGUGGCGAAGGCGGCCCCCUGGACAAAGACUGACGCUCAGGUGCGAAAGCGUGGGGAGCAAACAGG
rnacentral:rRNA from 1 species